AGGAGCAGUGUUUGCAGAGCUGGUUGAGAGCCUUGGAGGCUGGGCCGCCUGGGGCAGCUGGAGUUGAGGAAGAUGUAGCUGUUACCAGAGCCACUGAACAGAGCAGGGAGGGAGCAGGGAAGAAGCAGCCCCAGCUCCUUCUCUUCACACCCCUCAUCUACUGCUGGGCCGGCAGCCAGUUGCAAGAGAGCAGGCCAGUCAGGGCAGGCGCAGAGCAGAGGAGGUGGAGGACCAGAGCGGCCAGCACAGAAAACCGAAUCCCAGCUCUCCGGGCUACAGGUUCCUGUUGGAGGACACGGAUCAACAAACAGGCUUAUAUCCGAUUCUACUGGGAGCCGUUCUAUUCAUGAAGCAUCUUCUGUUUGCUCUCUAGACGGGGAACGGGCUGAGGAAGCUCCAGGAAACAGGGCUUUGUCAGCAGGGCCACAUCUUGGGGUGGACAGGACAGAAGACCACGACUCCAGACAGUUCAGGGAGGUGGCUGCCGUCUGCAGGAGCCGCUUUGGGAGAAGACAUCCGCCUUCGCCGUCUUCUGACAUUUUGUGCUGCACUGAUGCAGGAACAAAAAAGCCCAGCCCAAAAGCUGAAAACUAACCAUGAAGCUCAAGGAAAAGGACCCAGCAGAUAACAAAGAAAGCAACUUGGAGAAAAAGACAUUGGUCAGUCCUGGUCUCCCUGUGUCUCCCUUGUAGGAGUGUUCAGGUGACCCUGGGGCAGUCCCUCCUGGCACCCUACCUUCUCCCAGGGGAAGGGAUGUUGAGGGGAGGUCAGGCAGAGAAGGAGCAGAGGCUGGAAGCAAAGUUAUGCAGGAAGGACCCAUGUGAACUGUAAAUUGUAUACGGUGAGGCACAGGCUGUUGAUGGUGAUGUAUGCUGGUUGAUGGUGAUGUACUAUCUGUGGUGACCUUCCAGACUGUGUGUGUGGGGGUCUCCGUUCCAAACGUCAUUCCUCAGCAAGAGGACAUUGAUGUUGAAGGUGAUAAUGUCAUCAUCCUUAAGGAAACACUGAAACCCAACCCUCUGCAAGGCCCAGUCCAUAUGCCCCCUCCUCCAGGAAGUCCUCGGCACUUAGAAAGUCCCUCUCCUUCCUCAGGACUCCUUGGAUCCUCUCUUUAAACCAGAUUCAAAACCAGCAGCCAAACAGUGCCUGCUCUGUGCCAGACCUCACAUAGGUCUCUCGUUCCGUUCUCCUGGCUACACUGUAGUGGAGGCAUCACUAGCCCCAUUUUACAGGCGAGAAACUGAGGCUCAGAAAAGGCUGAAGCCAUGUGUCCAAGGCUACGUAGCUAGUUUAAGGUGCAGCUGAUCUCAAACACUGGCCCAUCUGGGCCUCGUGUCCCGUGAUGGGUGUGGAGGCAACCAGGACUCAGAAGAAGUUGUGUCCAUAUUUGUAAUAAACCUGUAUUUAGCAGGACAAAGAUCAAUACAAGUGUACGGACCAAAUUCCCUGGGGAGUGUGAAAUGGCAGCUAAGCAUCCCCUAUCACAUAGGUGUGAACUGGAGGUCCAGGGGGUCCAGACCACCUGUCUCAGGGGCCCCAGGGACCCUGAAGACCCAGGCUAAGCAGACAGAGAUUCCCUCCAAGUGGACACAGUAUCUUUUUCUUGGUGCUCAUAUUAGGUUGAGCCAAGGCUCCACUGUCUAGGCAUUGGGUGUGAGGAAGGAAGGGGUGAAGUCAUUGCAAACAUUCUGCUCGAAUGAUAUUCAGUAGAAAAUUCCCCUUUUUUCCUACUCUCUCUUUGGUAGAAAGUUUUCAUGUUAUCCAAGCCGACUUAAUAGUCUCAGGACUUCACCCAGGGGAGAGUUUGAGUUCAGUUCCAGAAGUAUCUACUGGGCCCCUUCCCUGAGCCGGGUGGGAAGAAGGCCCUGGGAAUUCAAAAAAGGCUUA